CGGCUGUAGCUAUGUAAAUCUCCUCAUUCGAGAAGCUUUACUGGCCGGUUGUUGUUUGUUUCUGUUGGCAUAUCUGCUUACCAAGCUUCUCACAUUU